UACGGGGGGAGCAAGCGUUGUUCGGAUUUACUGGGCGUAAAGGGCGCGUAGGCGGCACCGCAAGUCGACUGUGAAAUCUCCGGGCUUAACUCGGAACGGCCAAGUGAAACUGUCAAGCUAGAGUGCAGAAGGGGCAAUCGGAAUUCUUGGUGUAGCGGUGAAAUGCGUAGAUAUCAAGAGGAACACCUGAGGUGAAGACGGGUUGCUGGGCUGACACUGACGCUGAGGCGCGAAAGCCAGGGGAGCAAACGGG
rnacentral:rRNA from 1 species